UGUGACAAACACAACCAAACCGACGAUAUUGAAAUCAUAGUAGUGCGUUAUAAAUUAUGACACUAGAGAGACGGGCUGGAUGUCAAAUCCUACUAUAUAUAAAGAUGAAUUAAGAUCGGCCAUUUGGAUUAUGGAUGGAACAUGGCGCAGGUUUGCUGACACACCACUCGUACCACACAUUUUUUAAUGUACACCUUCGCCAAAAGUGUGCCUCGACCACAUCACCAGCAUUCAGUAGAACGGCUUCCUGGAAAAUUUAUAUGG